GCCUUAGUAACGGCGAGUGAAGCGGCAACAGCUCAAAUUUGAAAUCUGGCUUUUAGGCCCGAGUUGUAAUUUGUAGAGGAUGCUUUUGGUGCGGCGCCGUCCGAGUUCUCUGGAACGAGACGCCAUAGAGGGUGAGAGCCCCGUCUGGUCGGAUGCCUGCCUCUGUAAAGCUCCUUCGACGAGUCGAGUAGUUUGGGAAUGCUGCUCAAAUUGGGAGGUAUAUGUCUUCUAAAGCUAAAUACCAGCCAGAGACCGAUAGCGCACAAGUAGAGUGAUCGAAAGAUGAAAAGCACUUUGAAAAGAGGGUUAAAUAGUACGUGAAAUUGCUGAAAGGGAAGCGCUUGCAACCAGACGUGAAUGCGUCCAAUCACCUGCUUUUCCAGCAGUGCAUUUGGGCGGUUCAGGCCAGCAUCGGUUUUGUAGGGGAUAAAGACAUUUGGAACGUAGCCUCCUAGGUAUCUUAUAGCCUUAUGUGUAAUGCCCUGCAUUAGACCGAGGUACGCGCCUGCAAGGAUGCUGGCGUAAUGGUUGUUAGUGACCCGUCUUGAAACACGGACCAAGGAGUCGUCCUCGUAUGCGAGUGUUUGGGUGUUAAACCCUUACGCACAAUGAAAGUAAACGUAGGUGAGAGCUCAGUGCAUCACCGACCGAUCCUGAUGUUCUCGGAUGGAUUUGAGUAAGAGCAUACGGGGCCGGACCCGAAAGAAGGUGAACUAUGCCUGCGUAGGGUGAAGCCAGAGGAAACUCUGGUGGAGGCUCGCAGCGGUUCUGACGUGCAAAUCGAUCGUCAAACGUGGGCAUGGGGGCGAAAGACUAAU
rnacentral:rRNA from 1 species